GCCCUGUGUUUGCUGGGUGCUACUGUGCAGGUACAGCUCUUGGGUGGCUACAGUGGGCAAGAGCAACCCUGUGAUUUAUGCAUGGGGGCUGCUCCUUCUCAGCAGCUGCCAUAGCCUGGUUAUUGGAACAUGG
rfam:Tupaia chinensis contig23254, whole genome shotgun sequence.